ACAGCAGUCGCCGCGGGAAUACGUAGGGUGCAAGCGUUAAUCGGAAUUACUGGGCGUAAAGCGUGCGUAGGCGGCUAAUUGAGUCGGAUGUGAAAUCCCCGAGCUUAACUUGGGAAUUGCAUUCGAUACUGGUUAGCUAGAGUGUGGGAGAGGAUGGUAGAAUUCCAGGUGUAGCGGUGAAAUGCGUAGAGAUCUGGAGGAAUACCGAUGGCGAAGGCAGCCAUCUGGCCUAACACUGACGCUGAGGUACGAAAGCAUGGGGAGCAAACAGGAUUAGAUACCCCCGUAGUCCCUGUCUCUUAUAC
rnacentral:rRNA from 1 species